GUGCAAGCGUUGCUCGGAAUUAUUGGGCGUAAAGGGUAGGUAGGUGGUCUUAUUUGUCUGGGGUGAAAGCCUUGAGCUUAACUCAAGAAGUGCCCCAGAAACGGUGAGACUAGAGUCCUGGAGAGGGUCGUGGAAUUCCCGGUGUAGCGGUGAAAUGCGUAGAGAUCGGGAGGAACACCAGAGGCGAAAGCGGCGACCUGGACAGGUACUGACACUCAACUACGAAAGCGUGGGGAGCAAACAGG
rnacentral:rRNA from 1 species